UACUAAAUAUAACAGUUUAUAAAUAUUAACUACAAGUAAUUUAAUUGAUGCGUUUAUUUUCUUAGUCAGACGACUUAGACGGAGACGAUAUAACACAAUCUUUAGCUGAAUUUCUGGAAUUACCAAAAUCGCAGUCAAUCCCUGAAAUAAAUGUGGAUUUAGAAGAUGUAGACAUUAUCAUAAAGUUAGAGGUUUCAAGUGAUGAGUCUUCUAAGAUUGAUGCAUUACCAACCACUUUGAAAACAAAUCAGACUGAGAGAGAAGGACGAGGACAAAUAAAUGUUAUGCCUGAACUCAAAUCACCAUGUACAACGACUUUAGAAUCCAUACCCCUACCCAUAGAUACCCCUAAUAUGGUCGCUUUACGAAAAGAACUUCGUAUAUGCAAAAAUCACUUACUAAUUAAAACUAAAAAAGUGAAGAAUUUACAAAAAGUUAAUAAGAGACUAAGAAAUAAGGUU